GGCUAAUUUUUUUAACGGUUUUUUUAUUAAUAACAAUUGUAAUUUUCUUUUUCUCAAAAAAUCCAAAAAACUCUUUUUUCUAGACGCCAUUCCGGAUCGUUUAAGCCAUCAACCAUAUUUUUAGGAGAC